UCCAAACUGCACCAAACUGGCUCAAAUGAAGAUCCUACAUCUGUAUGUGAAACUCACCCCUGAAAAGAAAGAAGGCUGUUUUAUAGGUGAAAGCAAUAUGGAGAAUGUCUCUGUCAGAUGGAGUGCAGAUGGAGGAAAGGAUACAUGGAGAAGAAACCUCUUCAGAAUAUUGAAAUCAUCCCCAUAUUUCCUGGCUGUGGUUGAUUGUGUUCUAGAUAUGAUAAUUGAUGAAUGUAUUUUCCUUACUGUAAUGUGUGUGUUGUUCUUAGGUUGUGGCAUCAGGGUUAGUUGGACUUAUCUCAUGGAGAAGACCACUCACUCUGGUGGUGUCCCUCUUCAUGCUGCUGUCUGCUGUGUGUGUCAUCCUUAGUCUGGCUGGAUCCAUGCUCUCCUGUCAGAACGCACAGAUGGUCAAGUCACUCCUCACCUGCCAGGUGGAGAAUGGGUUGUGUGUGUGUUGCGCCCCAACACACUCCUGCUCUAUAAAUGAGGAGGAGACCUUGGUACUCUACCUAAACGCAGACUGCCACUCUGUCAGACAUCAG